GCAGCCAGAAGGAGGGGGAAGUGAGAGGACUGAGGAAGAAGAAAGAAGACAUGAGAGAGGAAGGCAAAGCAGCUCACUUGCCCAAGACUUGCUUUGGUAGCCAAACCACUUGGCUCUGACUGAAGAGAAGAGGGGAAAACCUGCUAAAAGGCUUGAGGGAGAAAAAUUGAGAGGCAGUUUGGAAUGAUGGGCUCUUUGGUGCCUGGUAGGAGACACAGAGAAGAUUCCGGAACAGGGCAGCCAAAGCAGAGCUGUGCUUUGAUAGGGAAAAUCAGCGUGAGUCUGGCGUAUGGAAUGUUGCCAUUGGACCUGGAGGACACCCAUGCUUCAAAAACAGCACACAUGAAGCUCAGGCCUUUGCUAGUCUCUCCGGUGAAAAGAGGAUAUGCAUUUUUGUGAACACUGGUUGGUUGGAGAACCUCAUGACAAAACUGG